rnacentral:rRNA from 1 species
GCGUGCGGGAAGAAGGCCUUCGGGUUGUAAACCGCUUUUGUCGGGGAAGAAACGCUCCAGGCUAAUACCCCGGAGUAAUGACGGUACCCGAAGAAUAAGCACCGGCUAACUACGUGCCAGCAGCCGCGGUAAUACGUAGGGUGCAAGCGUUAAUCGGAAUUACUGGGCGUAAAGCGUGCGCAGGCGGUCCUGCAAGACAGAUGUGAAAUCCCCGGGCUCAACCUGGGAACUGCAUUUGUGACUGCAAGGCUGGAGUGCGGCAGAGGGGGAUGGAAUUCCGCGUGUAGCAGUGAAAUGCGU